rnacentral:rRNA from 2 species
ACUUAAAUUGAAGAGUUUGAUCAUGGCUCAGAUUGAACGCUGGCGGCAGGCCUAACACAUGCAAGUCGAACGGUAGCACAGAGAGCUUGCUCUCGGGUGACGAGUGGCGGACGGGUGAGUAAUGUCUGGGAAACUGCCUGAUGGAGGGGGAUAACUACUGGAAACGGUAGCUAAUACCGCAUAACGUCGCAAGACCAAAGAGGGGGACCUUCGGGCCUCUUGCCAUCAGAUGUGCCCAGAUGGGAUUAGCUAGUAGGUGGGGUAACGGCUCACCUAGGCGACGAUCCCUAGCUGGUCUGAGAGGAUGACCAGCCACACUGGAACUGAGACACGGUCCAGACUCCUACGGGAGGCAGCAGUGGGGAAUAUUGCACAAUGGGCGCAAGCCUGAUGCAGCCAUGCCGCGUGUAUGAAGAAGGCCUUCGGGUUGUAAAGUACUUUCAGCGGGGAGGAAGG